rnacentral:rRNA from 1 species
GACGUAGGGCGCAAGCGUUGUCCGGAUUUAUUGGGCGUAAAGAGCUCGUAGGCGGCUUGUCGCGUCGACUGUGAAAGCCCGCGGCUUAACCGUGGGACUGCAGUCGAUACGGGCAGGCUCGAGUUCGGUAGGGGAGACUGGAAUUCCUGGUGUAGCGGUGAAAUGCGCAGAUAUCAGGAGGAACACCGGUGGCGAAGGCGGGUCUCUGGGCCGAUACUGACGCUGAGGAGCGAAAGCGUGGGGAGCGAACAGG